UUGAAUGAACUUAGAGUCGGUUGUCGCUGGCUGUCCGCAGCAUGUGCACGCCUUCUCUUUUCAUCCACACACACCCCCUGUGCACUUGUGAGACUGGAGACCGUAAAAAAGUCUUCAGUCUGCUAAAUUCAUAUACAAACUCAUUUAAUUGAACUGAAUGUAACUUGAUGUAACGCAUCAUUAAAC
rnacentral:misc_RNA from 1 species